rnacentral:rRNA from 1 species
GAUGAACGCUGGCGGCGUGCUUAACACAUGCAAGUCGAACGGGAUCCAAGGGGUGCUUGCACUUUUUGGUGAGCGUGGCGAACGGGUGAGUAACACGUGAGUAACCUGUCCUUUUCUUUGGGAUAAGCAUUCGAAAGGGUGUUUAAUACCUUAUGUUCUGUCUGCCUCGCAUGGGGUGGGUGGGAAAGGCUUUGGCCGGUUUUGGGUGGGCUCGCGGUCUAUCAGCUUGUUGGUGGGGUGAUGGCGUACCACGGCGUUGACGGGUAGCCGGCCUGAGAGGGUGGUCGGUCUCAGUGGGACUGAGAUACGGCCCAGACGGCUGCGGUGGGCAGUAGUGGGCGAUAGUGGACAAUGUGCGAAAGCCUGAUGCAGCGACGGCGCGUGGGGUAUGAAGGCUUACGGGUUGUUAUCUGCUGUUGCUCUGAACAAGGCAUGCCAGUGGGUGUGUGGAGGGAAGGGGUUGAUAAGCGCCGGCUAACUACGUG